AGUGAACGCUGGCGGCGUGCCUAAUACAUGCAAGUCGAACGGAGUGGCGCACGGGCGAGUAAUGUAUAUCUAAUCUGCCCUCCACUAGAGGACAACAGUUGGUAACGGCUGCUAAUACUCUAUAGUGUAGGAUGAGGCUAUCUUGUAUCAGCUAGUUGGUGAGGUAAUGGCUCACCAAGGCUAUGACGCAUAACUGGCCUGAGAGGAUGAGCAGUCACACUGGAACGGAGACACGGUCCAGACUCCUACGGGAGGCAGCAGUAGGGAAUAUUGCUCAAUGGGGGGAACCCUGAAGCAGCAACGCCGCGUGGAGGAUGACACUUUUCGGAGCGGAAACUCCUUUUGUUAGGGAAGCGUUACCUAACGAAUAAGCACCGGCUAACUCCGUGCCAGCAGCCGCGGUAAUAC
rnacentral:rRNA from 1 species